AGAGGGCCAACCAACUUUCUGGUAGAGAAUGCGUGAUAUACCAUCCAAGCUUCACAGACUCCAAAACAAUCUUUACACAAUAUUCUCAGUUUAGGAAGCCUGAUGAAGACAUUACAGGGGAGAAUAAAGUGGCAAUAACAUUGUAAUAAUACUAUGGCAAUUCACAAUGCUACAUACUACUGUGACUUUUAAUAACCAAUCCCUGUUGACUUCCAGGGGAGGUGAGUACGGACAAGAUGAACUCUAUCAAAGAAGUGACAAGAUGGGCAUCUUCAAGCAGGCAGAAGGUUGCUCAAGAAGUUCUGGACAACUGCUGGAGCCUGGGAGAUAUCUGGUGAUGUUGACGAUAGCUGCAGCCUACUUCCUACACUCUCUGAUCCAACAGUAGUUUAUACUGUAGAUCUAGGUUUGCAUCCCAAAUGGCACCCUAUUCCCCAUAUAGUGCACUACUUCUGACCAGAGACUUAAAAAAAAA